rnacentral:rRNA from 1 species
ACUCCUACGGGAGGCAGCAGUGGGGAAUAUUGCACAAUGGGCGCAAGCCUGAUGCAGCCAUGCCGCGUGUGUGAAGAAGGCCUUCGGGUUGUAAAGCACUUUCAGUCGUGAGGAAGGUAGUGUAGUUAAUAGCUGCAUUAUUUGACGUUAGCGACAUAGAAGCACGCGUAACUCCGUGCCAGCAGCCGCGGUAAUACGGAGGGUGCGAGCGUUAAUCGGAAUUACUGGGCGUAAAGCGCAUGCAGGUGGUUUGUUAAGUCAGAUGUGAAAGCCCGGGGCUCAACCUCGGAAUUGCAUUUGAAACUGGCAGACUAGAGUACUGUAGAGGGGGGUAGAAUUUCAGGUGUAGCGGUGAAAUGCGUAGAGAUCUGAAGGAAUACCGGUGGCGAAGGCGGCCCCCUGGACAGAUACUGACACUCAGAUGCGAAAGCGUGGGGAGCAAACAGGAUUAGAUACCCUGGUAGGAUAGCGU